rnacentral:rRNA from 1 species
GAUGAACGCUGGCGGCGUGCCUAAUACAUGCAAGUCGAGCGAACAGAUAAGGAGCUUGCUCCUUUGACGUUAGCGGCGGACGGGUGAGUAACACGUGGGUAACCUACCUAUAAGACUGGAAUAACUCCGGGAAACCGGGGCUAAUGCCGGAUAACAUUUAAAACCGCAUGGUUCUAAAGUGAAAGAUGGUUUUGCUAUCACUUAUAGAUGGACCCGCGCCGUAUUAGCUAGUUGGUAAGGUAACGGCUUACCAAGGCAACGAUACGUAGCCGACCUGAGAGGGUGAUCGGCCACACUGGAACUGAGACACGGUCCAGACUCCUACGGGAGGCAGCAGUAGGGAAUCUUCCGCAAUGGGCGAAAGCCUGACGGAGCAACGCCGCGUGAGUGAUGAAGGUCUUCGGAUCGUAAAACCCUGUUAUUAGGGAAGAACAAAUGUGUAAGUAACUGUGCACGUCUUGACGGUACCUAAUCAGAAAGCCACGGCUAACUACGUG